GGCGAACGGGUGAGUAAUGCAUCGGAACGUGUCCUUAAGUGGGGGAUAACGCACCGAAAGAUGCGCUAAUACCGCAUAAUCUCUGAGGAGAAAAGCAGGGGAUCGCAAGACCUUGCACUAUUGGAUGAGCCUACGUCUGAUUAGCUUGUUGGUAGGGUAAAAGCCUACCAAGGCAACGAUCAGUAGCUGGUCUGAGAGGACGAUCAGCCACACUGGGACUGAGACACGGCCCAGACUCCUACGGGAGGCAGCAGUGGGGAAUAUUGGACAAUGGGCGAAAGCCUGAUCCAGCAAUGCCGCGUGUGUGAAGAAGGCCUGCGGGUUGUAAAGCACUUUCGGCAGGGAAGAAAUGCUUAGAGAUAAUACCUCUAAGUCUUGACGUCACCUGCAGAAGAAGCACCGGCUAACUCCGUGCCAGCAGCCGCGGUAAUACGGAGGGUGCGAGCGUUAAUCGGAAUUACUGGGCGUAAAGCGCGCGUAGGCGGUUUGGCAAGUCGGAUGUGAAAGCCCUGGGCUUAACCUGGGAAUUGCAUUCGAGACUGCCUGGCUAGAGUUUGGUAGGGGAAAGCGGAAUUCCGGGUGUAGCGGUGAAAUGCGUAGAUAUCCGGAGGAACAUCAGUGGCGAAGGCGGCU
rnacentral:rRNA from 1 species